GUGAACAUACCUAUUUGUUGCCUCGGCGGUGCCUGUUCCGACAGCCCGCCAGAGGACCCCAAACCCUGAUUACAUUUAAGAAGUCUUCUGAGUAAACCGAUUAAAUAAAUCAAAACUUUCAACAACGGAUCUCUUGGUUCUGGCAUCGAUGAAGAACGCAGCGAAAUGCGAUAAGUAAUGUGAAUUGCAGAAUUCAGUGAAUCAUCGAAUCUUUGAACGCACAUUGCGCCCGCUAGUAUUCUGGCGGGCAUGCCUGUCCGAGCGUCAUUUCAACCCUCAAGCCCCCGGGCUUGGUGUUGGGGAUCGGCGAGCCUCCGCGCCCGCCGUCCCCUAAAUCUAGUGGCGGUCUCGCUGUAGCUUCCUCUGCGUAGUAGCACACCUCGCACUGGGAAACAGCGCGGCCACGCCGUUAAACCCCCAACUUCUGAACGUUUGACCUCGGAUCAGGUAGGAAUACCCGCUGAACUUAAGCAUAUCA
rnacentral:rRNA from 1 species